rnacentral:rRNA from 1 species
GACGAACGCUGGCGGCGUGCUUAACACAUGCAAGUCGAACGGAAAGGCCCCUUUGGGGGUACUCGAGUGGCGAACGGGUGAGUAACACGUGAGUAACCUUCCCUUGACUUCGGGAUAAAUUCAGGAAACUGGGGCUAAUACCGGAUAGGAAUCCUUGCUGCAUGGUGGGGGUUGGAAAGCUUCGGCGGUUUUGGAUGGACCUGCGGCGUAUCAGCUUGUUGGUGGGGUAGUGGCUUACCAAGGCGUCGACGGGUAGCUGGACUGAGAGGGCGACCCGCCACAUUGGGACUGAUAGACGGCCCAGAUGCCUACGGUUGGCAGCAGUGGGGAAUACUGCACCAGGGGCGGAGGCCGGGUGCAGCAGCGCCGCGGGCGGGAUGACGGCCUUCGGGUUGUAAACCGCUUGCAGCAGGGGCGAAGCUUGUGGUGACGGUACCUGCAGAAGAAGCACCGGCUAACUACGUG